UACAGAGGUCUCAACCGUUGUUCGGAUUCAUUGGGCGUAAAGGGCUCGUAGGCGGUCCGUCACGUCGGGAGUGAAAACUCGGGGCUCAACCCCGAGCCUGCUUCCGAUACGGGCGGACUAGAGGUAGGUAGGGGAGAACGGAAUUCCUGGUGUAGCGGUGGAAUGCGCAGAUAUCAGGAGGAACACCGGUGGCGAAGGCGGUUCUCUGGGCCUUACCUGACGCUGAGGAGCGAAAGCGUGGGGAGCGAACAGG
rnacentral:rRNA from 1 species